GCGUGCCUGGCUAUCCCUGGACUUCUGUUUGAAGGCUAACACAGGUCCAGAUCAAGAUGGGGGACAAGACUCAGAACCUGCCUGGCAUGUGGAUGCCCCCAACAGCAGGGGGAAAAGAUGAAGAAUCUGAACUUCAAAGCAACAGGCUGCUCGGCUGCUCAAGAACCAAGCUCAAAGAGGCUGAUUUGCCAGGGUCAGAA